CAGCCCUGGGCCUAAGAACCAUCAAUGUGGUCCGAGACAGACCUGAUAUCCAGAAGCUGAGUGACAGACUGAAGAGUCUGGGGGCUGAGCAUGUCAUCACAGAAGAGGAGCUAAGAAGGCCCGAAAUGAAAAACUUCUUUAAGGACAUGCCCCAGCCACGGCUUGCUCUCAACUGUGUUGGUGGGAAAAGCUCCACAGAGCUGCUGCGGCAGUUAGCGUAAGUCCCUUGGGCCUGCAGGUCCAGCUCGCCAGAGCUCUCCAGGUCUUUAGCUGGGAGGACCAUCAAGUGACUGAGUCCCAUCGCCAGUUCGAGCCAAGUCCAGGUCAGCACAAUGUUGAGUGGAAACUAGGACCAAAGUCAUCCAGCUAUUUGGGCACUGGUUUCUCAGCCUUCCCCUUUGCAGAUGAC
rnacentral:lncRNA from 1 species